GAUGAACGCUGGCGGCGUGCUUAACACAUGCAAGUCGAGCGAAGCGCUUUGAAGUUUUCGGACGGAUGAGUGACUGAGCGGCGGACGGGUGAGUAACGCGUGGGUAACCUGCCUCAUACAGGGGGGAUAACAGUCAGAAAUGACUGCUAAUACCGCAUAAGCGCACAGUACCGCAUGGUACGGUGUAGAAAAACUCCGGCGGUAUGAGAUGGACCCGCGUCUGAUUAGGUAGUUGGUGAGGUAACGGCCCACCAAGCCGACGAUCAGUAGCCGGCCUGAGAGGGCGACCGGGCCACAUUGGGACUGAGACACGGGCCCAAACUCCUACGGGAGGCAGCAGUGGGGAAUAUUGCACAAUGGGGGAAACCCUGAUGCAGCGACGCCGCGUG
rnacentral:rRNA from 1 species